rnacentral:tRNA from 1 species
AGGAGUAGUUCAGUGGUAGAACAUCAGCUUCCCAAGCUGAGAAUGCGGGUUCGAUUCCCGUCUCCUG